rnacentral:rRNA from 1 species
AACGUAGGAGACGAAACGUUAUCCGGAGUUACUGGGCGUAAAGGGCGUGUAGGUGGUUCGUAAGUCUGGCGUGAAAUAUCGUCGGCUUAACCGAGGCAGGUCGUCGGAUACUGCGGGACUAGAGGACGGUAGAGGCGGUGUGGAAUUCCGGGUGUAGUGGUGAAAUGCGUAGAGAUCCGGAGGAACACCAGUGGCGAAGGCAGUCCCUGGGCCUGUACUGACGCUCAUGCACGAAAGCGUGGGGAGCAAACAGG